rnacentral:rRNA from 2 species
CUGCGGCAGCUACCAUGCAGUCGAACGGGAGGUGGGGAGCUUGCUCCCCAUCUUUAGUGGCGCACGGGUGAGUAACACGUAGGUAAUCUGCCCCUGGGCGGGGGACAACUCCGGGAAACCGGAGCUAAUACCCCGUAAGACCACGGUCUUAAUUGACUGUGGUAAAAGGAGUAAUCCGCCCAGGGAUGAGCCUGCGUCCUAUCAGGUAGUUGGUGAGGUAACGGCUCACCAAGCCGACGACGGGUAGCCGGUCUGAGAGGAUGAGCGGCCACACUGGAACUGAGACACGGUCCAGACUCCUACGGGAGGCAGCAGUGGGGAAUUUUGCACAAUGGGGGAAACCCUGAUGCAGCGACGCCGCGUGGAGGAUGAAGGCCUUCGGGUUGUAAACUCCUUUUCUUGGGGAAGAUGAUGACGGUACCCAAGGAAUAAGCCACGGCUAACUCCGUGCCAGCAGCCGCGGUAAGACGGAGGUGGCAAGCGUUGUUCGGAAUUACUGGGCUUAAAGGGCGCGUAGGCGGCAUGGCAAGUCCGGGGUGGAAGGCGAGGGCUCAACCCUCGAACGUCCCUGGAAACUGCCGUGCUUGAGUCAGCGAGGGGAGGGCGGAAUUCCUGGUGUAGCAGUGAAAUGCGUAGAUAUCAGGAGGAAGGCCGGUGGCGAAGGCGGCCCUCUGGUGCUAGACUGACGCUGAGGCGCGAAAGCGUGGGUAGCAAACAGGAUUAGAUACCCUGGUAGUCCACGCCCUAAACGGUGGGCAUUAGUGUGGGGCUCGCAAGGCUUCCGUGCCGAAGGAAACCAUUAAAUGCCCCGCCUGGGAAG